rnacentral:rRNA from 1 species
UACGGAGGGUGCAAGCGUUAAUCGGAAUUACUGGGCGUAAAGCGCACGCAGGUGGCUGAGUAAGUCGAUUGUGAAAGCCCUGGGCUUAACCUGGGAAUUGCAUUCGAUACUGCUCAGCUAGAGUAUGGGAGAGGGUAGUGGAAUUCCCGGUGUAGCGGUGAAAUGCGUAGAUAUCGGGAGGAACAUCAGUGGCGAAGGCGGCUACCUGGCCCAAUACUGACACUCAGGUGCGACAGCGUGGGGCGCGAACAGG